GAUGAACGCUGGCGGCGUGCCUAAUACAUGCAAGUCGAGCGAACAGACGAGGAGCUUGCUCCUCUGACGUUAGCGGCGGACGGGUGAGUAACACGUGGAUAACCUACCUAUAAGACUGGGAUAACUUCGGGAAACCGGAGCUAAUACCGGAUAAUAUAUUGAACCGCAUGGUUCAAUAGUGAAAGACGGUUUUGCUGUCACUUAUAGAUGGAUCCGCGCCGCAUUAGCUAGUUGGUAAGGUAACGGCUUACCAAGGCAACGAUGCGUAGCCGACCUGAGAGGGUGAUCGGCCACAUUGGAGCUGAGACACGGUCCAGACUCCUACGGGAGGCAGCAGUAGGGAAUCUUCCGCAAUGGGCGAAAGCCUGACGGAGCAACGCCGCGUGAGUGAUGAAGGUCUUCGGAUCGUAAAACUCUGUUAUUAGGGAAGAACAAAUGUGUAAGUAACUAUGCACGUCUUGACGGUACCUAAUCAGAAAGCCACGGCUAACUACGUG
rnacentral:rRNA from 1 species